GAGCCUGUAGCUCAGCCUGGUACGAGCACUGCUCUGAUACGGCAGGGGUCCAAGGUUCAAAUCCUUGCAGGCUCA
rnacentral:tRNA from 1 species